rnacentral:rRNA from 1 species
UCGGGAAUUUUGGGCAAUGGGCGAAAGCCUGACCCAGCAACGCCGCGUGAGGGAUGAAGUAUUUCGGUAUGUAAACCUCGAAAGAAUGGGAAGAAUAAAUGACGGUACCAUUUAUAAGCUCCGGCUAACUACGUGCCAGCAGCCGCGGUAAUACGUAGGGAGCAAGCGUUGUUCGGAUUUACUGGGCGUAAAGGGCGCGUAGGCGGCGCGGUAAGUCACUUGUGAAAUCUCUGAGCUUAACUCAGAACGGCCAAGUGAUACUGCUGUUCUAGAGUGCGGAAGCGGCAACCGGAAUUCUGGGUGUAGCGGUGAAAUGCGUAGAUAUCAAGAGGAACACCUGAGGCGAAGGCGGGUUGCUGGGCCGACACUGACGCUGAUGCGCGAAAGCCAGGGGAGCAAACG